UUGGAGGCUGUUUCUACUAUCCUUCCAAAAGCAAAUCACAUAUGGUGUGCUAGGCACAUUGAAGCUAAUUAGAGCAAAAAUUGGAGGGGUAUAGAGAUGAAAAAGUUAAUGUGGUGGUGUGCUUGGAGUACCUAUGAAGAAGAGUUCAAGGAUCAACUGAAGACUGGGUGAUGUUCAUGAAAAUGCUGCUAGGGAACUAAUACACUACCCUCCUCAAUAUUGGUGUAGGGCUUAUUUUGAUACUAAAUGCAAGAAUCAUAUGGUUGAUAAUAACUUUACAGAAUCAUUCAAUAAAUGGAUUCUUGAAGCUAGAAAUAAACCUAUAAUUAAGAUGUUGGAAGACAUUAGAUUAAAGGUAAUGAAUUUGUUGAAGAACCGUGAGGAGGAAUGUAGGAAUUGGAAGGAAGAAAUUAGCCCAUAUGCCAUAGAGCUUUACAAUGAUUAUAGAGUGAUUGCAAUAGAGUGCAAAGUUAUCUUUAAUGGAGAUUACGGAUAUGAAGUGGUUGAGGGUAAAAAUAAGCAUACAGUGAACCUUGAAUUAAAGAAGUGUACUUGCAGGGCCUGGAAUUUGAUAGGAAUACCAUGUCCUCAUGCCAUCAAAGCUUUAAUGCAUGACAAACAAGAUCCAUUAAGCGUGGUGCAUUGGUGGUAUUCAAAGGAAGCUUAUAUGUUGGCAUACAUGCACAAGUUACAACCUGUGAGAGGUGAGAAAUUUUGGAAAAUUGAGCCAGAACAUUCAAUGGAGCCACCAGAAGUACAUAAAAUGAUGGGUAGACCAAAGGUAAAGAGAAAAAGAGAAAAGGAUGAGGCCAGGAAAAGGAAGGGGGUCUGGUCAGCUUCAAGAAAGUGACUUAUAAUGACAUGUGGGUUCUGUGGUACAACAGGUCACAACAGAAGAAAAUGCCCUUUGGCUAAUGGUGAAGGAACUUCCCAAACAGUACAAGAUGUGCCCUUGACGGCACCCCAAGACAGUCAAAAUUUAGAAUUUGCCUUCAUGCCUACUUCGGGUAUGAGAAUGACCUCUCCUGAACCUUCCAGUCAAUUUGAUGGACUUCAAAACACACUUCAACAAUCUGUUGCACCUUCAAUAUUAGCUGAUGAUGAAUAUGAAGGUGGAUAUGAAGAUGAAGACGAAGAGCCAUAUGUGAUGUCUAAGGUGAUAUCUGAAGCUAUGACUAGGCUUCAACAAAGAAAGUUGCAUCAAGAACCUAUUGGUACCAGGAAGAUUGCCUUCAAAGGAGAUAUAGAUGGUGUCAAUGUGCCUACUGAUCUGCCUUAUUCACCAAAGAAGCUCACAUGGAAAGGAAAAUCAGCUAUGUCCUCAAGCCAGUUGGUAGCAGAAAAGGAAAAAAAAAUUGGAAAACUGAAGACUAAAAAGGCCAAGCAUUAGAGUAGUUUGUUCAGUUUAAUGACUUUUGUAUAAACUUUUGUGUAAUGACUGUGAAUCAGUUGAUUCGAUUGUUGAUU